rnacentral:snoRNA from 1 species
UUUACUUUUUAAAAGCUGUUGGUUUCAAGCAGGAGUCUAAAGAAUUAUUUUUCUAUGGUCUGUUGGCCAUUUCAAAACUUUGGAAAUGUAAUGGUCAAUUCAUUAGAAAGAAACAUAU